AAUGAACGCUGGCGGCAGGCCUAACACAUGCAAGUCGAACGGAUCCUUCGGGAUUAGUGGCGGACGGGUGAGUAACGCGUGGGAACAUACCCAAAGGUACGGAAUAGCCUCGGGAAACUGGGAGUAAUGCCGUAUGCGCACGAAAGAGGAAAGAUUUAUCGCCUUUGGAUUGGCCCGCGUUGGAUUAGGUAGUUGGUGGGGUAAUGGCCUACCAAGCCGACGAUCCAUAGCUGGUUUAAGAGGAUGAUCAGCCACACUGGGACUGAGACACGGCCCAGACUCCUACGGGAGGCAGCAGUGGGGAAUCUUAGACAAUGGGGGAAACCCUGAUCUAGCCAUGCCGCGUGAUCGAUGAAGGCCUUAGGGUUGUAAAGAUCUUUCAGGUGGGAAGAUAAUGACUGUACCACCAGAAGAAGCCCCGGCUAACUCCGUGCCAGCCGCUGUAAGAC
rnacentral:rRNA from 1 species